UCUUGUUAUUAAUUAUUUUCCCAAGCACCAUCUACAUUACCUUCAUCAAUUUAAAAAAAUACUGAUAAUGAAAGACAAUAGAAUAUCCACAAGAUUUGCGAUUGUUUAGUGAGA
ensembl:snoRNA